UGCAGCCCUGGAAGGAAGAAGCUCAGGAGCAGAGCUGCAGCUAUGGCGUCAAAACACACCUCCGUUUCCAGGGACUGCCUGGUGCCUAAGACAGCCCUGGGAAUCCCAGCACAACAGCACACAGCAGAACAGAACGAUGCAUUAGGAAUUUGAAACUGGCUGAGCUGCACAUCCAGCAAAUCCUGCCGUUCAGACCAGAUGAGGCUGAAGACAGGAUUUUACCAUUUGGGAACUUCCUUUACAGAAUUCUGCCUCUGAGACUGCCUGCAGAAUUCCUCUCCAACUGCUGUCUGGUCUUCGUGAAAAAGGUCCUGUUUUCCUGGCUUUCUCCUUCUCCAAGUCAACUCACAAUUAUCAACGUGAUCUGCUACAUUGAUCAAAGCAAGCAGCGAAGACUGGAAGUCCUCCAGUGCUGGUCUUGGAAAAAAAAAAGAACGUCAACCCUUUACUCUCAAUUAAAAUAAACUUAUCUACUUAAUCUUC